UGUCACAGCGUGGCACUCAUCCCUGGCCUU
rnacentral:piRNA from 1 species